rnacentral:lncRNA from 1 species
AGAUAAUUGAAAAAUAAAUAAGGAAUACCUAUUAUCAUUUUAUUCAUUUCUCUAUUUCUACUCUUCUUUGCGGGAGACGCGAUAUCUUGCCUCAAAAGAAAAAAUUGUCAAAUAUGGGAUGCAACGACAUAACCUCAUUUUUUAUAACGCAUAGUUACCAGACUGUAGAAAUAGUAGCAAAGUAAACGUGGCUUCAUUCUAGAGCUAAAGUUAUAAAGUCUUUGUGAAAUAACAAUAAUUAAUGAAAAUGGACUUUCCCAUUCGUCAGUUCAAUGCAGCUAUAAUACACCAUCGAUUACAUGUUAAGGAGAAACCGGUUACCACUGGAUCUCCUAAACAUGUACAAUUAAGAGAACCUCUCUUUAAAAUGUUGGUGAAGGACUUUGUGCCACUUUGAAUGGUUGAACGACCUUCUUUCAUCAAUUUUGUUAAUGGACUGGUUCUAAAAUAUAGGCUAACAUCCAGGAAGUUUAUUUUGGAAACCAUAUUACCAACAAAGUGGAAGAAGAAAUAAAUUGAGUAAAUGAACUCUUCCAAGGAAGUGGGGAUCACUACUCAUGGAUGAACUAGCAUUUCUUGAGUAUCUUUUAUCUCAGUAACUGCCCAUUUAUACAUCAAUGACGUAAUUACUGAGAAAAUACUAUUAUAUAAAGAGUUAUAUAAUCCCCAAACAGGAGAAACAGUUAGUGUUUUUAUUAAGAAUAUAUGAAACAAAUACGGAAUAUUUGAUAAAGUUAUUGCUAUAACAUCAGAUAAUGUUUGAUCAAAUAAUCAACUAUUAACAGUCAAAUUUCGAAAUCAACAUCAUACAAACUUUCCAAACAUUCAUGGAACUCGUAAGACUCACUCGCCUUUCUCGAACUUCUCACUUCUCCGAAACAUGGAAAUUUGAUAGUUGAUAAGCCAUCUGAAGAAUGCUCUGAUGCUAUGGAAGUAUCAUAUGAAUAUUAAAGCCUUCUUUGGAUGUCUCCUCGGAAAUUUUGUCAGUAUAGACAAAUAUGUAUAUUAAACAGCUUCUUCAUUGGGGGAAGGAAAAGAAAAGACUUCUCAUGAAAAUAAAUAGACUUGAAAAAGGGAAUUAAAUAUUUCCCUUCCAAGAGUCAGUUUGACCAAAUAUGCAUCUAAAAGAAGUGAAUGUAAAGCCUAUAAAUGUAAAUUAAGUAAAAUAUUUCCACCAAGUUAAGUCAAUGUUCUAAUAAAUGAGAUUGUUAACGCCAGACCUAAAAAAUGGGCAGAGGAAGAUAUUCAGAGGUCUCUCAUUCUGAGAUCAAUGACUGGAGGAAAAACCUAUAAAUAUCAUCCACAUUUAUGAAAUGGAUAACCAAAUUUAAAUGUGGUCCUCGAAUUCAAUAUGAACUUUUGAACAUUUUAAAUACACAAA